UUGUUUUCUAACUUCUCUCUUUGUGACAACCCUCUUGUUCUCUCAUGCUCGGCCACUCAAGCUCUCGAUCUAACAUCAUCAAUCAAGCACCUGCUACGAUUUGAGCCUUAACUUCUCUCUUCGCGACAACUCUCUCGUUCUCUCAUGCUCCGCGGCUCAAGCUUUCGGUCUAACAUCGUCAAUCAAGUACCUACAAUUUGAGCCUUUGGGGGGUUGGUUACCUUCUUAUAGAGAUGUUUUGCUUGCUAUUCGGAAAGAAUUAAAAGUUCCCUGCUCUAGCAAAAUUGUCAGCUGAAGACUUAAAAGCAAAUUUUCUCUUCAUCUAGUUCAAGAGUACUCAAGAUUUCUGGUGAUCAUUGGACGAUCAAUACUUUGCAGCGACCGAUGCUAGAUCAGGGGUGGAUGAAACAGGAACUCUUUUCCCAGAUGGAGAUGCGACCCUCCCGAUUACCACCCUGACAUAAGCGCGAGGAUGUCAUUUACUCUUUUGAUGAGAACUAGAUCUAGGGUUGUCUCUUUGUACUGUAUUAUUUUGUAUUGUAUUUGAUGAAAAUUUUGAACACAACUUUAUAGAAUUUAUUUUUAUUGCA